CUGCUGCAAAACCGGCUGAAAACGAGGGCAGAGCGCUAGGGCCCUUCUGCCUGUCUUCCCUGCUUUUCACAGGGAAACGCACAAGUAUUCUUCUUUCCCGUGCGUUUAAGUAAACCCUGAAGGUUUCCUUUCUGUGCCUACAAGUGUAAAUGAACAGGGCUUCUGCUCGCUACCAGGUUAGAUACGAGAAGGUCCUUUGAAAGAUGCACCCAAAUUUCACUGUAGAAUUUUUCCUGAAGAGGCCAAACAUCCGUGAGGGACAAGGUGUUUUCAUUUCUUCUCUGGAAACAUUAUUCAGUUUGACGGCUCAGUUCAAAUCUACAAUGUACAAAUCCAGCUGAAAAGAACCUGAGAAAAUGAGCAGAGACAGCCACACAAAGUGGGGGGGGGGGGGGACACACGACUGAAAACAGAAGAAAAAGAAAGAUAGGAUAAUUUUUUGACAAAGGGGUCUUCAGGAGCUAAUGCUGUUGUGGUUUGUUGUUGUUCUCCAAGCUUUGGUGUUGUUCGUUAUCCUUUAUUUUUGUUUUUUGACAGUGUGUCUUGGUCAGUAUCUGUGCCUUUUCCUCUCUAAACCAACAGCAGUCACAUAUUGCAAUGAACUCUCAAUAUGAGCUUGAAGGACACAUCAGGCCCCAACAACCCCCUUGCAAGGAAAGUAAUCAGUGGCACCCUGUAGCAUGAGCUACAGGACGUAACCUGGCUUACUCCCUUUUGUUUGGCCAUAUCUGCUUAAUUCUUUGCACUGCAGCAAUACUCUACCCUUGUCUUUCCUUCCCUGGCUCUCCAAUAAACAGCUCUGGCCUGAA